ACUUAACCUGUGUCUAAAGCACUGCUGGCCGCCGAUUCUACGCCGCCCGGUCGCCAGGGAGAGUGAAUACAGCUAGGGACGUGAAAGAACGGGGAAGAUAACCAAAGGGUGGUUUGAGAAACCCACCAGGCCAACUGGGAAUUAGAAUUGAUUCAAAACUCCAUUGAUCGCCUGACCUCCAUAAGCUCCUACUCUGCUGCAGUUGAGUGCUGCCACUUAAAUCCUGCAGUCCCGAGAUCCGGUUAUAACCAAUGCAUUUAGAUUUUUCAUUUCGGUGGCAACAAUCUUCAUUGUAAGUUCUGUCCUACAGAGAAGUGUGGUGAUCAAGCUCUUCGGAGAUACUGGGACUCCUCUCACAAAUGUAUGUCUCACAGUUAUGAUGAAUGGUGUAUCUCCUGGAUCUUCCUCAGUUGAAUGCUUCUUAGAGACAAGGCCUCACUCCAUUGCCCCUAGGCCAGGCCUGGUGAGUGACAGCAGCCCUGGUGCCCCAGCCUGCUAGGGCAAUGUGUCACCCAGAGGCUUCAAGGCCCUUCUCACCAUGGUACCCACCUCCUCAAAGCUGCCU
rnacentral:lncRNA from 1 species